UACGGGGGGGGCAAGCGUUGUUCGGAAUUACUGGGCGUAAAGGGCUCGUAGGCGGCCAACUAAGUCGGACGUGAAAUCCCCAGGCUCAACCUGGGAACUGCAUCCGAUACUGGAUGGCUUGAAUUCGGGAGAGGGAUGCAGAAUUCCCGGUGUAGCGGUGAAAUGCGUAGAGAUCGGGAGGAACACCAGAGGCGAAGGCGGCUUACUGGAUAGGAACUGACACUCAACUGCGAAAGCGUGGGGAGCAAACAGG
rnacentral:rRNA from 1 species